rnacentral:rRNA from 1 species
AGCAGCCGCGGUAAUUCCAGCUCCAAUAGCGUAUAUUAAAGUUGUUGCAGUUAAAAAGCUCGUAGUUGAAUUUCGGGAUCAGUGGGUCGGUCGUGCCACUGGUAUGCACUGGCCCUACUGGUUCCUCCUUCUUGAAGAACUGUAAUGCCAUUAAUUUGGUGUUGCAGGGAAACAGGACUGUUACUUUGAAAAAAUUAGAGUGUUUAAAGCAGGCAAUCGCUUGAAUACAUUAGCAUGGAAUAAUGAAAUAGGACGAUCGAUCCUAUUUUGUUGGUUUCUAGGAUUGACGUAAUGAUUAAUAGGGAUAGUUGGGGGCAUUAGUAUUCAAUUGUCAGAGGUGAAAUUCUUGGAUUUAUUGAAGACUAACUACUGCGAAAGCAUUUGCCAAGGAUGUUUUCAUUAAUCAAGAACGAAAGUUAGGGGAUCGAAGACGAUCAGAUACCGUCGUAGUCUUAACCAUAAACUAUGCCGACUAGGGAUCGGAUGAUGUUAAUUUUUUAAUGACUCA